GCGAGGCCCAGAGAGACUUAACUUCCCAAAGGAGGCCACAGAGCUAGCUCAGCCCUAAUGCCGGCCCCGCGGUGCCUUUCCGAACUCACGGCCUCCCCUCGGUAUCCGGGUUUCGGCCUUGGAGCGCCAGGAACGCCACGAGGACGCACCCCACACUUGCGCGUCUAGGUUCCAGUCCCCGCGGCUCCCAACAAAUAAAGAAGGGAAAGUCCUACGGGUGACGGCCCCGGGGAACGCCGCGGCUCUGCGUCAACCUGUGGCGGCCACCGACUCAUUUGGGGCCACGCUGGUUGCAUUCGUCACGCCGGGGACGCCUCUCUAACCCUUCCCACACCGGCGACAUGGGCGCGUCUGUGGCUCUCGAGAACCGGGUCGCGGAGCCCCCGCGAGGGCAGGCGAGGAACUGGCGACUGUGGGAACGAAAAGCUGCGGCUUGUAGUCCCCUUGCGACCCUCUAUUCUGGAAGAGGCCGGGCGCGGCCGCUGAGCUCCAGCUCUGCGCCAGCCCGGGCGGCUGCGCGCUCAGGGGCGUGGCGAGGGCGGGUCGUGAGUGGGGCGGGGUCCACAGGGCGUGCGCGACGAACCUGCGCGGUGCGUGGCGCGAAGGGGCGUGGCGCCAGUGGGCGUGGCGUGGCGUAAUGCGAAGAGUCGCGGUGCGGCAGCGCGUGAGGGCUGCGGCGGCUUCCCUAGAUUAGGCUUGGGAGGCAAGAGGAGGCCUCCUGACCUUUCACACUGCCUUUUUAAUAUUAAGAUGAAGGCACACUCCACAACUUACUUCCGGCCAGGCCCAGACGUGGCCGUCCUUGUAAGAUAAAAGCUUCCGUGGGAGCCUUCCUUCCUCAUCAAGCCUCGUGGUGGAACAUCGGACCCUUCAAGAGGAAGGAUGAAAGCUCUACAUAGGAACACGAUGUGAAUGGAAGAAACCUGUCAUUAUGCAAAUAAUACGACACUCU